CUCUCUGGGGCACAUUACAGUAUAUGGAUCCUCCACCUGUUUAGUGAUCAGUACAAUACAGCAAUAAUCAUAUCUUAGUCAUACUGUCACCAGGCAGUCUACAGCUGACAUGUGUCUCCGUCACUCAACCUCUGAUCAGACCGCGAUGAGCAUAAGUAUUAUCAUUGAAUAUACCCGUAUAGUAUUUGCAUUUAACAGUCAGACAUUUAUUGUUUAUUGUUAAAUUGGCCUAUACAAUAAAAUUCUGCAAUCACUACAAAAA